AGGUGCAAUGCAAGUGGGUCUACAGGCAAUGCCCACUCCUGAGAAUCCUGUUCCACUUCCAAGGAGCUCCAGGAGCUCUGUCUGCUCUAUUGUGAAUCCAACUCAAUUUGAUAUCCCCAGGCUUAUCAAAAAUCAAUCCUUACACUGUGGGCUCAUUAUUUUAUAGGAAGACUGGAGUCACACUCUAUUUACAAAGUCUUUGAGCCGGUCAUCAUCCGCUGGACAUGACGAUUGACAUCACCACUUAAGAUGCCGUCUCCGGCCUGGUGUGGCUCCUGUCAGGCGAGGCCCUGGAUUCCGUAAGCAGAGUUAAGACCCAUGUGAAAAGUUCACCCUAGUAAAAGGUGCAGUUUCUUGCCUCGGUCCAAACGUCUCAGCACUUUCCAAUCACAUGUUGGGCAACUCUCCUGCACAGCCCACUUUCUAGACCUGAACUCUGCCCACUUGUUAGGGCGGCUGUGUGCUCAGGGCACAACCUUUGGCUUCUGCUGCCAGCCCCUGUGUCACUUGCUCAUCAGCUUCUCGGGAGCAGGACCUGUCUUACUCUCUGUUUCACAAAUGUUUAGUAGAAUAUCUGGCACAUAGUAAAUGGCAAAUCAAUAUUUGUGGAACAAAACUUAAUCUGCAUGUGACUUUAUCCUUGUUCCCACUGCUGCAUUCCUGAGAACAGAGCCACUGGUAACCUCCCAUUCAGCAAACAUCCUUUCCUGUGUCCAGCCUUGGAAGUAUCCCUUGGAGUAAAUCUCUCUGUAAAGUCCCCUUGCAAGAAACACUUUUUAAUGCCAGGCACGGUGGUUCACGCCUGUAAUCCCAGCAUUUUGGGAGGCCAACGCGUGUGGAUCACCUGAGGUCAGGAGUUCAAGAGCAGCCUGGCCAACAUGGCAAAACCCCGUCUCUACUAAAAACACAAAAAUUAGCCGGGUAUGGUGGUGGGUGCCUGUAAUCCCAGCUACUUGGGAGGCUGAAGCAGGAGAAUCGCCUGAACCUGGAGGGCGGAGGUUGCAGUGAGACGAGAUGGCGCCAUUGCACUCCAGCCUGGGUGACAAAGUGAGACUCCGUCUCAAAAAAAAAAAAUACUUUUUAGUAUCUGAUAUUAGGAAAAUACUUUCUUUUCCCCUAAGGAACUAGUAUAUUCUACUUUUUCAAUAAUAAGAGCCAUGUAAACUAUCAUCUCUCCCUUUCUCUGUCUCUCUCUCUCUCUGUAAGAGUGGCCAAGAACCUCAAAAUAACUGUAAACUCAGUGAGAGCCACUGUAUUGACCCUUUCAGUUCCAUCAUGUUUAUAUGACUUCUCUUAGAUCCUGAUUUUCAGCUUGGGGAUUCUAUUGCAGUUUUUCUCAAAGUGUGGCCUGGGAACACCUGUAUCAGAAUCAUUGUAGGUGUCUGUUAAAAAUGCUGAUUUUCAGACCCCUCACAGACUUGUUAAUCAGAAACUCCAGAAGUGAGAUUCAGAAAUUUGCAUUCUACACAAACAUCCCAGGUAUCCUAAUGCUCAGUUAAGUUUGAGAAUCUAUGGCCUAUUUUUUUUUUUUUUUUUUUUGAGAUGGAAUUUUGCUCUUGUUACCCAGGCUGGAGUGCAAUGGCACGAUCUUGGCCCACUGCAACCUCUGCCUCCCGGGUUCAAGCAAUUCUCCUGUCUCAGCCUCCUGAGUAGCUGGGACUACAGGCGCUGGCCACCGUGCCUGGCCAAUUUUUGUAUUUUUAGUAGAGACAGGGUUUCACCAUGUUGGCCAGGCUAGUCUUGAACUCCUGACCGCAGGUGAUCCACCGGCCUCCGCCUCCCAAAAGUGCUGGGAUUACAGGCGUGAGCCACCGUGUCCGACCUCAUUUUUAUAUGUUAUUUGUUGUAAAACACUCAACAUUCUUCUUGGAAGAAAAAGAAAUUUACAUAAGUGGUAUAAUAUAAGAAAAUAUGCUGCAUAACAUAAUGAUGAUGGCCUUCAGGUAAUGUUAACAGCAUUACUUAAAAUAAUUAUUAAUGUAUUAUCUUAAUUUUUUUUUUUUUUUUUUUUUUUGAGACAGAGUUUCACUGUUGUUGCCCAGGCUGGAGUGCAAUGGCUCGAUCUCAGCUC
rnacentral:lncRNA from 10 species